UACAGGGGGGGCAAGCGUUGUUCGGAAUUACUGGGCGUAAAGGCUCGUAGGUGGCCAACUAAGUCAGACGUGAAAUCCCUCGGCUUAACCAAGGAAGUGCAUUCGAAACCGCAUGGCUGGAGUCCCGGAGAGGAUGGUGGAAUUCUCGGUGUAGAGGUGAAAUUCGUAGAUAUCGAGAGGAACACCGGCGGCGAAGGCGGCCAUCUGGACGAGGACUGACGCUGAGAUGCGAAAGCGUGGGGAGCAAACAGG
rnacentral:rRNA from 1 species